AUAGGCGCACGUCGAAUCGUCUCGCUUCUUAAUGGGCGUACCGCGGUUGGAUCCCGGUUGCAUUUAGCCGGCUCGUUUCGCGAGAGGAGGAAACAGGAUCCGAGAGGAAGAGAGAGAGAGAGAGAGAAAG